ACAACUCAUCAUUUUUUAGUACUAAUUAUCAACUAUAUCACUUUAUAAAUAUUUAUCACUUUCGGAAUACAACCGUCAUCACUAAUAUAAAAGUCACCAAAUUACACAUAAGUGUGUACAUAUAAGCAUAUAAUUUGCCAUACAUAGGGAUAGAUGGACUCAAAUCACUAGAUGUACACAUAGGCACAAUCGAUCUUUUUGGGUAUCAAUGUAUUAUCAUAAUCUGGCAUUGUUGGGUAUCAAUAUCAUCACAAUAUCUUCCAACCUUGUUGGAUGUAAAUAUUAUCAUAGUAUCCUCCGGCCUUGAUGGGUAUCAUCAUAGUAUCCUCUAGCCUUGUCGGGUAUUAUCAUAUCAUUAAAAUAUCUUUCGGCCUUGUCGUGUAUCAUCAUAUCAUAAUAAUAUUCUCCGACCUUAUCGGGUAACAAUGCACCUAUAUAAUCAUAAUCGAUGGAAAAAUCAAUAGCAUAAGCAAUCAUAUGAUGAAGUAUCAUGCUUUUAAACAUAAUUAAUGGCAUAAAUUUCCUAUAUAAUCAAUAAGCAUGACUUCUAACAUAGUUCAUGGAAUAAUUGCUAAUAUCAUCAUUAGAAAUGUUUUCUAACAUGAUCAUAAUCACAAGCAAUAUUGUGAGCAAUGACUCAUUAAGCCUAUUCAAUGGCCUAUCAUUAGCAUAAAGAUAGUAAAUCAAUAGCUUGAGUAAUAGCGAAUCCAUGGCAUAAUCUAUAGCUUAUUCAUGGAAUAGUUAAUAGCAUAAUGUAUGGCUUAGACAAUAUCAUAGUCAAGGGCUCAUUCAAUAGGAUAUUUAAUAGCCCAAUCAAUAGACCAACAAUAGCAUAAUCAAUAGCUCAUCAUAAUCUUAACCAAUAAAUCAUACAUAUGUCAUAAUCAUUAUGCCUUACUUUUAAUGUCAUUCAGCAUGACCAACAAGUACCAAGGUUCCGCAACAUUGCAUAAAAAGGGCAUCCUCUAACCAUUAAUAAGCGUAUAAGGGUCUUAAGAUAUCCAUUCAACAAUCUUGGCUUAUGGUGGGUAAAAGAUCACACUUUUAAAUCCCUGAAAUACAUUCUAAGUCAAACACUAACCUGAACUAGGCUAUGCUAUCUAAAUCCACACUUAGAUGUAUAACAAUCCACCAUUAAUCCUAAUGUAGAGAUUCUUCUCAAGCAUUUAAACUAAGUCCAAUAGAACUAAGGCAACCUUCAUUAGUGAAAGGAACUAAGGCCAAACUUACUCUAAGCAUGAUUAAUUAGAGUAUUCUACUUAAUUUAUGGUAAACUAAGGCAUUCUCAUGCUAAACAUGAGUAAUGAAGUCUAAUGCACAACGAUUCAAGGCAACAAGCUAAGUAUCUCACUCUACAAGUUCAACUUAGCCUAAAUAAUCCAACUAAAUCCAAAUCUUAAAUUUAUCAAUCCAACACCUAAACCCAUCCCAAAUCCAACACAAUAUCAUAAGAAUAUUAUGACAUACCUGAACCUAGCAAGGGAUAAACCUAGCUUACCUCGACAAUGAAAAAAGCUCAACAAAUUUCCUUUAUGAGAAGCCUCCUCAAGAUGCCAAGCUAUAUAAAACACUUAUACUCAUCAAUAUGCGAAUAUUGAUAUCCAUAUAGCAUUAUUGUGGUUCGUGCUCAAAAAUCACCUCAAAAACCCCCAUUUGGGUCCUACUUAUGUAAAUCACGUUUUUGGAACCAACCCAAUGUAAUAUCAAACUCACAAAAUCAUUAACCUUAUAAAUAGGUGAAAACCAAGCUAAUUUAGGGAUAAAAUCAAACACUAAAGGUUUUGUGGUUUGGGGAAUUAAAUCUAUAAAUUUCACCAAGAAAAGGGUGAAUUCUUAUUUUAAAUCAGAUGAAAAUCACAAAAAUAGUGUUAAUCUAGCUUCCCAGGCUCCUACAAGCUUCAAUUUUAAGCUAACACAUUAUUUUAGGAUUUUUGUCUCUCAAUACAAGAGUAAGAAUUGGAAAAAAUGUGGAUUAACACUACUGAAAAUUGCGGGUAUGGCAAUGAUUCAAAUACUAUUUCCAUAGAUAACAAAACCGUACCUAUAGAUCUAUGGCAAUGGUUACAACAUCUGAUACUACUGAUCGCAUUACAUUAGCUCUAACACAAUGAUUUUCUAUGAUGGUGAUGUAAACCGUCGCUAUAUUGGUAGCUCUAGCAAUGGUUAUUGAUUUGAAUAAAUGCGAUGGUUUAUAAGCUGUUGGGGCAGCUAUGAACUAUCCCUAUAUAAACAUUAGAG
rnacentral:lncRNA from 1 species